rnacentral:rRNA from 1 species
GGUCCGAUUCAGCCAUGCUAGUUGUACGGGUUUAGACCCGUAGCAAAUAGCUCCGUAACACGUGGUCAAACUACCCUCUGGACCGGGAUACCCUCGGGAAACUGAGGCUAAUUCCGGAUACUGCUUUCAUGUUGGAACACAGAAAGUCGGAAACGGUCCGCCGCCGGAGGACGUGACUGCGGCCGAUUAGGUAGACGGUGGGGUAACGGCCCACCGUGCCGAUAAUCGGUACGGGUUGUGAGAGCAAGAACCCGGAGACGGUAUCUGAGACAAGAUACCGGGCCCUACGGGGCGCAGCAGGCGCGAAACCUUUACACUGCACGCCAGUGCGAUAAGGGGACCCCGAGUGCGAGGGCAUACAGUCCUCGCUUUUCGUGACCGUAAGAAGGUCUCAGAAUAAGAGCUGGGCAAGACCGGUGCCAGCCGCCGCGGUAAUACCGGCAGCUCGAGUGAUAGCCACUAUUAUUGGGCCUAAAGCGUCCGUAGCCGGCCGAACAGGUCCGUCGGGAAAUCCACCCGCUCAACGGGUGGACGUCCGGCGGAAACCAGUCGGCUUGGGGCCGGGAGACCAGAGAGGUACGUCCGGGGUAGGAGUGAAAUCCUGUAAUCCUGGACGGACCGCCGGUAGCGAAAGCGUCUCUGGAGAACGGACCCGACGGUGAGGGACGAAAGCUUGGGUCUCGAACCGGAUUAGAUACCCGGGUAGUCCAAGCUGUAAACGAUGCUCGCUAGGUGUGGCGUUGGCUACGAGCCAGCGCUGUGCCGUAGGGAAGCCGAGAAGCGAGCCGCCUGGGAAGUACGUCCGCAAGGAUGAA